CCUACGGGUGGCUGCAGUGAGGAAUAUUGGUCAAUGGACGAGAGUCUGAACCAGCCAAGUAGCGUGAAGGAUGAAUGCCCUAUGGGUUGUAAACCUCUUUUAUAUGGGAAUAAAGUGUUCCACGUGUGGGAGUUUGUGUGUACCAGAAGAAUAAGGAUCGGCUAACUCCGUGCCAGCAGCCGCGGUAAUACGGAGGAUUCGAGCGUUAUCCGGAUUUAUUGGGUUUAAAGGGAGCGUAGGUGGAUUGUUAAGUCAGUGGUGAAAGUUUGCGGCUCAACCGUAAAAUUGCAGUUGAAACUGGCAGUCUUGAGUACAGUAGAGGUGGGCGGAAUUCGUGGUGUAGCGGUGAAAUGCUUAGAUAUCACGAAGAACUCCGAUUGCGAAGGCAGCUCACUGGCCUGCAACUGACACUGAGGCUCGAAAGUGUGGGUAUCAAACAGGAUUAGAUACCCGGGUAGUC
rnacentral:rRNA from 1 species